UGAGGAAUAUUGGUCAAUGGGCGAGAGCCUGAACCAGCCAAGUAGCGUGCAGGAAGACGGCCCUAUGGGUUGUAAACUGCUUUUAUGUGGGGAUAAAGUGCGUGACGUGUCAUGCAUUGCAGGUACCACAUGAAUAAGGACCGGCUAAUUCCGUGCCAGCAGCCGCGGUAAUACGGAAGGUCCGGGCGUUAUCCGGAUUUAUUGGGUUUAAAGGGAGCGUAGGCUGUCUAUUAAGCGUGUUGUGAAAUAUACCGGCUCAACCGGUGGCUUGCAGCGCGAACUGGUCGACUUGAGUAUGCAGGAAGUAGGCGGAAUUCAUGGUGUCGCGGUGAAAUGCUUAGAUAUCAUGACGAACUCCGAUUGCGCAGGCAGCUUACUGUAGCAUAACUGACGCUGAUGCUCGAAAGUGCGGGUAUCAAACAGG
rnacentral:rRNA from 1 species